UAGGAUAGGUGGGAGACUGUGAAGCGGGCACGCCAGUGUUCGUGGAGUCAUCGUUGAAAUACCACUCUGGUCACUCUGGAUAUCUAACUUCGGCCCGUGAUCCGGGUCAGGGACAGUGCCUGAUGGGUAGUUUAACUGGGGCGGUUGCCUCCCAAAAUGUAACGGAGGCGCCCAAAGGUUCCCUCAGCCUGGUUGGCAAUCAGGUGUCGAGUGCAAGUGCACAAGGGAGCUUGACUGUGAGAGUGGCAGCUCGAGCAGGGACGAAAGUCGGGACUAGUGAUCCGGCGGCUCGUUGUGGAA
rnacentral:rRNA from 1 species